UUUCCUCGUUGACACUCCAGUAAUAUUCAGGGACCCGUUGGAGUGGAAGGAUUGGGACGUGCAGCUGCUGUGGGGAUUUUUAUUUGGGCUCACAGGGAGGAAAACUUGAAGACCCAGAUCAGAGUUUCAGCUUCACCCAAACCAUUUUUCUGAAAAUCAAACAUGCUCCUUCCUGAUGCACAGAGACCGAAGGCGUGUCUGCUGUGGGCAGGAUCGUGUUUCCUCUCCCCGCCAUGGCGUGGAACAGAAAAGUUUCCAGCCAAACGAUCUCUAAGCUGGUUUUGGCUGUUAAAGGUCGUCGACCCCUGUUCCAGGACUUCCGUGCUCGUGAAACGAUCCUGGGACGCGGCGUCUCCUGACAUCAGGACUUCAGGUGAACACGGAGCCGAAGCAGAAGAAGUCAAACUUCAGUUCUAGUGUGUUUUUGGACUCUCAGUCGCAGAUUUCUGCUCAGACAUGAACUCAGAAGUUUCAUCCUUAAAUGAGCUUAGCUGCUCGCCUCUGAACAGUUGGACAGGAGGGCGGUUGCCAUGGUUACCGCAGAGCUCCAUCUCCUCUUUUAAACCAUCUGCACAUCAACUUUUUGAGGGUUUGGGGAGGAAUUUUAUCCCAAUCUGUACUGAUUGGUGUGUUUUCUCUUUAAGAGCGAUGAUCCAAACCUUUGUAGGUGAGAAAUCUGGAUAUGGACCCACUUUGAAACAGUUCAAUCGGUCUAAGGGAAACAUGGACCUGGAGCUCCUCUAGGCAAGAACGUUUUCAUCUUUAUGUAAUAAACACCAGCAAACUUUAAACGUGAAGCUGGAGCAGAAGAACA